rnacentral:tRNA from 1 species
GCAGUCGUGGCCGAGUGGUUAAGGCGAUGGACUAGACAUCCAUUGGGUGUCUAGUCCAUCGCCUUAACCUUGCACAGGUUCGAAUCCUGCGACUUUU